AUGUACAACCUUCCCCCCUGGUUGUGCAUGAAGAGGAAGUACAUUCACAUGAGUAUGCUAAUUGAAGGGCCGAAACAACCAGGGAACGACAUCAAUCUGUAUCUGGGGCUGCUGAAAGAGGAGAUUGACACGCUGUGGAAAACGCCAGCCAAUACGUGGGACGCCGCAGAGAAAGAAUAUUUCCCUAUGAGAGCCGCACUGCUCACGACGGUGCACGACUAUGUCGGUUACGGAUAUCUUGCGGGGCAGGUAGUCCACGGAUUUUCUGGAUGCGUAAGGUGCAUGGAUGACACAACGUAUCGCCAGCUAGAUAGAGAUCCCGGGUCUUCGAAAACCGUGUUCAUGGGACAUCGAAGGUGGCUUCGCGACGAUGACCCGUGGAGGAAACGCAAGGAUCUGUUCGAUGGUGAAACUGAACCCCGAAAACGCCCGUGUACGAGGAGCGGCGAGGAAAUAGACAAGCUAUUGAAAAAUUGGAAAGACUGCCUACUGCCGGGAAAGAAGCAAAAGGCGCCAGAGCUGCUGCUGAAGGUAUGGAAAACGAGGUGUGUUUUCUGGGACUUGCCGUACUGGAAGAUCCACCGUGUGCCUCACAGCCUUGAUGUCAUGCAUAUCACGAAGAACGUGUGCGAGAGUCUGCUUGGUACCCUGCUCAACAUGCCAGAGAGGACCAAAGAUGGGCCGAAAGCAAGGGCAGACUUGAAAUCAAUGGGCAUCAGGCAGGAGCUUCACGCUAUAUAUGAUGAUGAUGAUGAUGAUGAUGAUGAGGCGAAGCAGGACACAGAAAGUCGUCGCAAAGGCAAAAAGGCCAAGAAGACCGGAAAUGACUACCCUCCCGCGUGCUUCACUCUAAGUCAGGAGGAGAUCGAGCAGUUUUUCACCUACCUCCUAGGAGUAAAACUUCCUUACGGUUACGCGGGGAAGAUAAGCAGAUACCGAGACCCAGCGAAGCAGAAGUUCAGCGGGAUGAAGUCUCACGACUGUCACGUGCUGAUGACGCAGAUACUUCCAGUUGCAAUCCAUGGGAUCAUGGACGCGCACGUCCGUGAAACGCUAUUUGGCCUAUGCAACUUCUUCGACGUCAUCUCUCGGAAGUCGAUUGGCGUGAGGCAACUCAGAAGGCUACAGGAAGAGAUCGUGGUGAUACUAUGCGAGCUUGAGAUGUACUUCCCGCCCGCAUUCUUCGACGUUAUGGUGCAUCUGCUGGUCCAUAUAGUGGAGGAUAUCAUCCAACUCGGGCCGACGUUCCUGCACAGCAUGAUGCCGUUCGAAAGGAUGAAUGGUGUCAUCAAAGGAUAUGUUCGCAACAUGUCACGUCCAGAGGGAAGCAUAGCCAUGGGCUUUCUGACCGAAGAGUGCAUCUCCUACUGCACGAAUUAUCUAGGCAUCGAGAACCCCGUUGGUCUGCCCGUCAACAGGCACCUCGGCAGGCUCGCUGGAUGGGGUCACCGUGAGGGUCGCCGCGAAAUGCAUGUCGACUUCGAGGGUCUACUCGCCGACUUUGAAAGAGCGAACCUAGUCGCGCUACAACACAUAGACGUGGUCGAUCCUUGGGUGGUAGAGCACAAAACCUUUAUUAAGAAGACGUACAAUGACCGAGGCCAACAGAGGACGGACGGAGAUAUACUCAAAGAGCACAACUCAUGUUUCACGCGUUGGUUCAAGCAGAAGCUUCUGUCGUACCCUUUACAUGAGGAUUCUUCCGCGGAAGAACAACUCAUAUUCGCCUUGUCACAGGGCGCCGAGCACAACCUGAUGACCUAUGAGGCAUACGAUAUCAACGGCUACACAUUCUACACCGAGGCCACGGACAUGAAGAGCGAUGGUUAUCAGAACUCCGGGGUAACGAUGGAAUCCUACACCGGUAACGACAAGGACAGAUACUACGGAAGGAUCGAGGAGAUCUGGGAGCUGAGCUACGCUGGAGAGAAGGUCCCGAUGUUCCGUGUCAGAUGGGCCAAGAACGUCAUAAAAUAA
rnacentral:rRNA from 1 species